rnacentral:rRNA from 1 species
GGCUUCGGCCUGCCCCUCUCUGACUAUUCUACCCGUGUCUUUUGCGUACUAUUUGUUUCCUCGGUGGGCUUGCCCGCCGAUAGGACACUAUAAAAACCUUUUGUAAUUGCAGUCAGCGUCAGUAAAAACUUAAUAGUUACAACUUUCAACAACGGAUCUCUUGGUUCUGGCAUCGAUGAAGAACGCAGCGAAAUGCGAUAAGUAGUGUGAAUUGCAGAAUUCAGUGAAUCAUCGAAUCUUUGAACGCACAUUGCGCCCCUUGGUAUUCCAUGGGGCAUGCCUGUUCGAGCGUCAUUUGUACCCUCAAGCUUUGCUUGGUGUUGGGCGUCUUGUCCCGCGUUUGCGUGUGGACUCGCCUUAAAACGAUUGGCAGCCGGCAUAUUGGCCUUGGAGCGCAGCACAAUUUGCGUUUCUAGUCAUGAAUGUUGGCGUCCAUUAAGCCUAUAACAUUUGCUCUUGACCUCGGAUCAGGUAGGGAUACCCGCUGAACUUAAGCAUAUCAAUAAGCGGAGGAAAA